UACGUAGGGUGCAAGCGUUAAUCGGAAUUACUGGGCGUAAAGCGUGCGCAGGCGGUGAUGUAAGACAGAUGUGAAAUCCCCGGGCUCAACCUGGGAACUGCAUUUGUGACUGCAUCGCUGGAGUACGGCAGAGGGGGAUGGAAUUCCGCGUGUAGCAGUGAAAUGCGUAGAUAUGCGGAGGAACACCGAUGGCGAAGGCAAUCCCCUGGGCCUGUACUGACGCUCAUGGCACGAAAGCGUGGGGAGCAAACAGG
rnacentral:rRNA from 1 species